GCAGUCGUGGCCGAGUGGUUGAGGCGAUGGACUAGAAAUCCAUUGGGGUCUCCCCUCAAAGGUUCGAAUCCUGUCGACUGCG
rfam:Ixodes scapularis strain Wikel colony gcontig_1107728969998, whole genome shotgun sequence.